rnacentral:rRNA from 1 species
CCUACGGGUGGCAGCAGUGGGGAAUUUUGGACAAUGGGGGGAACCCUGAUCCAGCGACGCCGCGUGAGUGAUGAAGUAUUUCGGUAUGUAAAGCUCUAUCAGCAGGGAAGAAAAUGCCGGUACCUAACUAUGAACCUCCGGCUAAUUACGUGCCAGCAGCCGCGGUAAUACGUAGGGGGCAAGCGUUAUCCGGUUUUACUGGGGGUAAAGGGAGCGUAGACGGUGCAGCAAGUCUGAUGUGAAAGGCCGGGGCCCAACCCCGGGACGGCAUUGGAAACUGUUGAACGGGAGUACAGGAGAGGUAAGCGGAAUUCCUAGUGUAGCGGUGAAAUGCGUAGAGAUAAGGAGGAACACCAGUGGCGAAGGCGACUUACUGGACUGUAACUGACGUUGAGGCUCGAAAGCGUGGGGAGCAAACAGGAUUAGAUACCCGUGUAGUC